rnacentral:rRNA from 1 species
UAGGGAAUAUUAGAAAUGGACGAAAGUCUGAUCUAGCAACACCGCGUGUGCGAAGAAGGCCUUCGGGUCGUAAAGCACUUUUUGGAAGGAAUGGGAAGGAAUGUACUUCCAGAAUAAGUCUCGGCUAACUACGUGCCAGCAGCCGCGGUAACACGUAGGAGGCGAACGUUAUCCGGAUUUACUGGGCGUAAAGCGCGUGUAGGUGGUUCUGUAAGUAGGGCGUGAAAGCUCCUGGCUCAACUGGGAGAGGCCGUUCUAAACUACAGAGCUAGAGGAUGGUAGAGGGAGGUGGAAUUCCAGGUGUAGCGGUGGAAUGCGCAGAUAUCUGGAGGAACACCAGUGGCGAAAGCGGCCUCCUGGACCACUCCUGACACUCAGACGCGAAAGCUAGGGUAGCAAACG